GGAAAAAUGGCGGAGUGGUUUAUGCAACGGUCUUGAAAAUCGUUGAGCCGUAAGGCUCCGUAGGUGCGUCUCCCACUUUUUCCGCCA
rnacentral:tRNA from 1 species